rnacentral:rRNA from 1 species
CCUACGGGUGGCAGCAGUGAGGAAUAUUGGUCAAUGGACGAGAGUCUGAACCAGCCAAGUAGCGUGAAGGAUGACUGCCCUAUGGGUUGUAAACUUCUUUUAUAUGGGAAUAAAAUGUUCCACGUGUGGGAUUUUGUAUGUACCAUAUGAAUAAGGAUCGGCUAACUCCGUGCCAGCAGCCGCGGUAAUACGGAGGAUUCGAGCGUUAUCCGGAUUUAUUGGGUUUAAAGGGAUCGUAGGGGGAUUGUUAAGUUAGUUGUGAAAGUUUGCGGCUCAACCGUAAAAUUGCAGUUGAAACUGGCAGUCGUGAGUACAGUAGAGGUGGGCGGAAUACGUUGUGUAGCGGUGAAAUGCUUAGAUAUCACGAAGAACACCGAUUGCGAAGGCAGCUCACUGGACUGCGACUGACACUGAGGCUCGAAAGUGUGGGUAUCAAACAGGAUUAGAUACCCGUGUAGUC